rnacentral:lncRNA from 1 species
GAUUAGCGGGGUUUGAAAUUUUUGUGGCCAGCCUUACUACCCCGGGGCUUCAACUUUCAAACCAACAAGUCAACGGGAACGUUCCGGCGAAACAGGAUCUCCUGGUGCGCUGCUGGGACGCGUGCGGGGAAUAGAAACGAAAUCCUCCUCGGACGGCGCCGGGCGGACUCCCGGGCCUGGGGUUGCAGCGCGGUUUCUGAACCCCGCAGGAUUGGGCUUGGAAUCGGACUUGACCCCGCCAGGGUCAAGGCCAGCACUUUGCUUUGAUCUUUCCACGUGCUGUUUGUGAUCCUGUGAUCAUUGGCCACAGACGAAGCCUGCCCCUAACCGAUGUCCGCAGAAGCUGACGGGUUCAGCCUGGCUGCGCCUAUGUGCCCAAAUCAGAAUCAAGUUUACGCUCAAGGUUAGGAGGACAUGGGUUACCUCGUGUGACCCGGGACGGGAGACGUCUGCCCAAAUCAAAGCUGGUUACAAAUGCGCCCUCCCACAAGAGUCUCGGGGAGACCCGCGCCCCACAACAUUCUCUCUUUCCAAACUCUGGGCAAACACGUGUCCCACGUGCCUUGGGCCGCACCUCCCAGAGGCCUCACUCGGACUGGGCCCGCCAGGCUCCGAGGUAGCAUCGCCUUGUCGCCUUUCCCCCCAGAACCCCUGACUCUGGGCUGGUCCCUGCAAGCCUUGGCCCACGCUGUCACCAAGGUUGUGUCGGAGAGAGAGAGGGGGGCGGCCUGCGUCCUUCAAUUGGCACCCUAGUAGAAGCAAAACUUCGUGGUGAUGUUGGCGGGACACUUACGGCAGCUUUGAAGGGGGGGCGCGGAAGGCGAGAGGAGAAAAAUAUGAUAGAGGCCCUUCGCAGAUCAGCAUACUCUGGCAUCUAUCUGUCUAUCUAUCAGGCCAUUUCUGCAGCAUCUCCAAAGUCCCGGCCUCCUCAGGACUUGGGUUUCUCGGAGCUGUCACAGUGGCCUGUUUUGUAUUUUGUUCGUAGCCGUCUUCGCCAGGAGGAUCCCAAAGUCCAUUUGCACUUGGGCUUUUUACCACUCCUCCCGUUCAGAUCUUUGCUCUUUUUCUAUAAGGCUUUUGGCACACAUACACACACACACCCCCUCCUUGUCCCCAGCAGCCCUUUCUCUGCUUCUUGGCUGCUGCUCGAGAGACUCGUAUGCAUGCCUGCCUUCCCCUUCUCUCCCUCAUUAUCAACCCCCCCCCCCCCCCACAAGUCCAGCCUUUUCCUUCCUCUUCCC